rnacentral:rRNA from 1 species
UACGUAGGGGGCAAGCGUUGUCCGGAUUUAUUGGGCGUAAAGAGCGUGUAGGCGGCCAGGUAGGUCGGUUGUGAAAACUGGAGGCUCAACCUCCAGACGUCGACCGAAACCAUCUGGCUAGAGUCCGGAAGAGGAGAGUGGAAUUCCUGGUGUAGCGGUGAAAUGCGCAGAUAUCAGGAAGAACACCCGUGGCGAAAGCGGCUCUCUGGGACGGUACUGACGCUGAGACGCGAAAGCGUGGGGAGCAAACAGG